rnacentral:rRNA from 1 species
UACCCGCAGCACAAGUGGUGGUCAUUAUUAUUGGGCCUAAAGCGUCCGUAGCUGGCCUGUUAGACGCCUGGGUAAAUCGAUGCGCUCAACGUAUCGAACUCCGGGUAGACCGGCAGGCUUGGGACCGGGAGAGAUGUGAGCUACUCGAGGGGUAGGGGUAAAAUCCUGUAAUCCUUCGGGGAGGACCAGUGGCGAAGGCGUCACAUUAGAACGGCUCCGACAGUGAGGGACGAAGCCCUGGGGCGCAAACCGG